rnacentral:lncRNA from 1 species
UUCACAAGGCAAAUCUUCAUAAACUUCUGAAGCUGCCUACAGUUUCCCGUAAACAAAUCUCUUUAAAUUUACAAAAGCAAUGCUUGCUGAUUGUAAAAAACACACAGUGCCAAAGCAUACAAAGGAAGAAGACCCGCUUGCAAUUUGCUACCUACAUCCCACUCCUGGGGCCAACAACUAUUGGAAGUGUGUGGUUUUCUGCUAUCAACAGCAGAAUGGGCUGUUCCAGGGCUGCUUCCUG